rnacentral:rRNA from 1 species
UACGGGGGGGGCAAGCGUUGUUCGGAAUUACUGGGCGUAAAGGGCUCGUAGGUGGUCAACUAAGUCAUACGUGAAAUCCCUCGGCUUAACCGGGGAACUGCGCCUGAUACUGGUUGACUUGAGUUUGGGAGAGGGACGCGGAAUUCCAGGUGUAGCGGUGAAAUGCGUAGAUAUUCGGAAGAACACCAGUGGCGAAGGCGGCUCACUGGACCGGUAUUGACGCUGAGGUGCGAAAGCGUGGGGAGCAAACAGG